CCUACGGGUGGCAGCAGUGGGGAAUAUUGCACAAUGGGCGAAAGCCUGAUGCAGCAACGCCGCGUGAGCGAUGAAGGCCCUCGGGUCGUUAAGCUUCUUCCUUAAGGAAGCUAAUGACGGUCCUUGAGGAGGAAGCCCCGGCCAACUACGUGCUAGCAGCCGUGGUAAUACGUCGGGGGCUACCGUUAUCCGGAAUAAGCGGGCGUUAAGGGUGCGUAGGUGGUUUCUUAAGUCAGAGGUGAAAGGCUACGGCUCAACCGUAGUGAGCCUUUGAAACUGGGGAACUUGAGUGCAGGAGAGGAGAGUGGAAUGCCUAGUGUAGCGGUGAAAUGCAUAGAUAUUAGGAGGAACACCAGUUGCGAAGGCAGCUGUCUGGACUGUAACUGACGCUGAGGCACGAAAGCGUGGGGAGCGAACAGGAUUAGAUACCCUAGUAGUC
rnacentral:rRNA from 1 species